ensembl:rRNA 5S_rRNA 5S ribosomal RNA
CCCAGCAUCUACUGUAUAGCUCUCUGGAGCUCUCUUAUGGCCAUUCACUGAAGCUAAGCAAGGCUGCACCUGGUCAGUACCUUGAUGGGAGACCUCAUGGGAAAACUGGGUUGCUGCUGGAG